rnacentral:misc_RNA from 1 species
GGAGUCUGCACCUCAAGCCCAGGAUGAAAGAAACUCUAUUCCAAUCCGUGGAUCCUCUCCUUAUGCAGCAGGACCUUCACAUCAAGCUGUAUCUCCAGUUGGGGACAAUCUGGAGCCUUGUGGAUGUGUUCAGUCAGACGUUAGGGUUACCCUCAAUCAAUCUUCCCUACCAGCAGUGAGUAGAGUGCAUCCUCAAUCAACUAUAAAUCCG